CAUGUCAGCGCGAGUUGCGGACAUGGCAACAAAUCGCGUCCUAGAGGGUGUGAUUUGUUGCCAUGUCAGCAACUCGCGCUGACGUGG
rfam:Gossypium hirsutum cultivar TM-1 unplaced genomic scaffold scaffold235.1, whole genome shotgun sequence